rnacentral:misc_RNA from 1 species
GAUGAAGAACGUAGUGAAAUGCGAUAAGUAAUGUGAAUUGCAGAAUUCAGUGAAUCAUCGAGUCUUUGAACGCACAUUGCGCCCCCUGGUAUUCCGGGGGGCAUGCCUGUCCGAGCGUCAUUGCUGCCCUCAAGCACGGCUUGUGUGUUGGGCCCCGUCCCCUCCCCCGGGGACGGGCCCGAAAGGCAGCGGCGGCACCGCGUCCGAUCCUCGAGCGUAUGGGGCUUUGUCACCCGCUCUGUAGGCCCGGCCGGCGCCAGCCGACACCCAACUUUUAUUUCUAAGGUUGACCUCGGAUCAGGUAGGGAUACCCGCUGAACUUAAGCAUAUCAAUAAGCGGAGGA